rnacentral:rRNA from 1 species
CGGAAUCACUGGGCGUAAAGGGUGCGUAGGCGGUACGUUAGGUCUGUCGUGAAAUCCCCGGGCUCAACCUGGGAAUGGCGGUAGAAACCGGCGCACUAGAGUAUGGGAGAGGGUGGUGGAAUUCCAGGUGUAGCGGUGAAAUGCGUAGAUAUCUGGAGGAACAUCAGUGGCGAAGGCGGCCACCUGGCCCAAUACUGACGCUGAGGCACGAAAGCGUGGGGAGCAAACAGGAUUAGAUACCCUGGUAGUCCACGCCCUAAACGAUGAAUACUAGAUGUUUGGUGCCUAGCGUACUGAGUGUCGUAGCUAACGCGAUAAGUAUUCCGCC